GUUUAAGUUAUUUUAUUAAAAAUAAUUAUAAAAUGAAUUGGUUUUAGUAUUUUAUAAAGAAUAAAUAAUUUUAAUAAUAGUUUAUUAGUAUUGUGAAAGAAAAUUGAAAUAAUAUGAAAAAUUUUUAUUAAAAAAGAAAAUUUAAUUUAUUGUACCUUGUGUAUCAGGGUUUAUCUAAUAAAAAAUAAUUAUUUAUUUUUCUCGAUUUUAAAAGAGUUAAUAAUUUAUAAAAGUUAAUGUAGUAAAAUUAUUUUUAAUAAAUUAUUAGAAAUGAAAUGUUAUUCGUUUUUAAAGGUAUCUAGUUUUUUUAGAAAUAAAUUUAAUUUAGAAAUUUUAAAUUUAUUUAGUUUAUUUUUUAACUAAGUAAUUUCAAAAUUUUAGUAUUUUAUGGGAUAAGCUGUAAAAUAAAUUAUUAAAAAUAAUAAAUAAUAAAAUUAAAAUGUAUAUUUAAAAUUAGUAAUCAUUUUUAAGUUUGUUAUAAAUUAUUAUAUAAUAUAAAUUAUUUAUUAAAUUUUAAUUUUUUAUAAAAAUAUUUAUUUAAAUUUUAAAAAUAAAAUAAUAAUGAUAAAAUUAGUAUAUUUAUUGUAAAAAUAAAUUUAAAUGAAAAGUUUUAGUAAAGAAUUCGGCAAAUUUUAUGCUCGCCUGUUUAACAAAAACAUGUCUUUUAGAAAUUAAUUUAAAGUCUAACCUGCCCACUGAAAAAUUUUAAAUGGCCGCAGUAUACUAACUGUGCAAAGGUAGCAUAAUCAUUAGUCUUUUAAUUGAAGGCUGGUAUGAAUGGUUGGACGAAGUAUAAACUGUUUCAUUAAAAUUUAGAAUAAAACUUUAUUUUUUAGUCAAAAAGCUAAAAUUUAUUUAAAAGACGAGAAGACCCUAUAAAUCUUUUAUAUAUUAGUUUAUUUUAAUUAUUUAGAUUAUUUUUGUUAUAAUAAAUUUGUAUAUUUUAUUGGGGUGAUAUUAAAAUUUAAAAAACUUUUAAUUUUUAAAAAUCAUUAAUUUAUGAUUAAUUGAUCCGUUAAUAACGAUUAAAAAUUUAAGUUACUUUAGGGAUAACAGCGUAAUUUUUUUGGAGAGUUCAUAUCGAUAAAAAAGAUUGCGACCUCGAUGUUGGAUUAAGAGAUAAUUUUAGGUGUAGCCGCUUAAAUUUUGAGUCUGUUCGACUUUUAAAUUCUUACAUGAUCUGAGUUCAAACCGGCGUAAGCCAGGUUGGUUUCUAUCUUUAAUCUAUUAAAAUAUUUUAGUACGAAAGGACCAAAUAUUUAAAUUAUAAAAUUUUAAAAAUUGAAUAUUAUUAAUUUAAUUA
rnacentral:rRNA from 1 species